AUACCAUUAUGAAGGCAUCUUCUCAAAAGAUCCUUAAAUCUCUCUCAAGUGUCAUACAGUGUUUCAAACUUAAAUUGGGCAAAAGAAGAAACAUCAUUCCUCAACCU
rfam:Gossypium arboreum cultivar AKA8401 contig_46725_1, whole genome shotgun sequence.